GGGUGUAGGGAUUAGUUGUGAGGGGAGAAUUAUUGAAUGUCUCUGGGGAGGAAAAGUAGCCCUGUAUACUCUUACCAUCCCAAAAACGCGACCAGAUUAACUAUAAAACCCGAUAAACUACUGUCAAAAGCCGCUCACAUUCCGAAUCCCAGAUUUUAAGAACAGCAGACUUCCGGGGGCUGAACUGUUCUGAAACAGCUUGUUUCUAUCAGUAAGACUGAAACUGAAGAAUUCUGUCAGUCACCAACCCCCACCACCUUGUAAUCCCAAAAGGUUUUCGCACAGAGUUGUGGGAAAUGUAGUCUCCCUCUCUGUGAUGUCAUACACAGCAGCUCCGCCCGCUGCAUUUGCGCGUUCUGUCUGCACAAGUUCGUUUUUCCCCAAAGGUCAGGAGAUAUUUAUAGUUGGUGUGUUCCUGCUGCAUCUCUGGCAUGGAGCCUGGUUCAGGGUGCAGCGCGGCCCUGCAGGUCUGAGAGACCGUGCAGGGCGGCCGGGUGGCUCUGCAGGGAGGGGAAAGAAGCUGACUUGGACCUGCUGUGCUCACCUAGGCUGCAAAGAGGACCCCCCAGAGCGAGCUGACUUUCUGGUCCCUCCGGUAUUUUAUAGUCGACCCAGAACUCUUGGUUUGAGUUGACACAAGUUCCUUACAGACGUAGUUUCCAGGACAGAGAGCUCUGCGAGGCUCCGUACUUCUGAUGGCCUCGGUACUCUUACGUCAAUCAUCAACUAGGAAAAUACCCGCACAGAAUUACAUGAAGGCCAAUCCGAUGAAGGCAUUUUUCUCCACUAAAAUUUCCUCUUCGCAGAUGAACUUUGUAUCAUGUUGGAUAAAUAAAUAAGCCAAUAAGUA